rnacentral:rRNA from 1 species
CUACGGGAUGCUGCAGUGAGAAAUAUUGCACAAUGGGGGGAACCCUGAUGCAGCAACGCCGCGUGGAGGAUGACGCAUUUCGGUGUGUAAACUCCUUUUAUAUGUCAAGAAAAUGACGGUAGCAUAUGAAUAAGCACCGGCUAACUCCGUGCCAGCAGCCGCGGUAAUACGGAGGGUGCAAGCGUUACUCGGAAUCACUGGGCGUAAAGGACGCGUAGGCGGGUUGGAAAGUCAGGUGUGAAAUCCUACAGCUUAACUGUAGAACUGCACUUGAAACUUCUAAUCUAGAGGAUGGGAGGGGGAGAUGGAAUUAGUGGUGUAGGGGUAAAAUCCGUAGAUAUCACUAGGAAUACCUAAAGCGAAGGCGAUCUCCUGGAACAUUACUGACGCUAAGGCGUGAAAGCGUGGGGAGUAAACAGGAUUAGAUACCCCUGUAGUC